rnacentral:rRNA from 1 species
CAGCCGCCACGGUAACACGAGGGGAGCUAGCGUUGUUCGGAAUUACUGGGCAUAAAGCGCGCGUAGGCGGCUUUUUAAGUCAGAGGUGAAAGCCCGGGGCUCAACCCCGGAAUUGCCUUUGAAACUGGAAAGCUAGAAUCUUGGAGAGGUCAGUGGAAUUCCGAGUGUAGAGGUGAAAUUCGUAGAUAUUCGGAAGAACACCAGUGGCGAAGGCGACUGACAGGACAAGUAUCGACGCUGAGGUGCGAAAGCGUGGGGAGCAAACAGGAUUAGAUACCCGUGUAGUCCCUGUCUCUUAUAC